AACGAACGCUGGCGGCAGGCUUAACACAUGCAAGUCGAGCGCCCCGCAAGGGGAGCGGCAGACGGGUGAGUAACGCGUGGGAACGUACCCUUUGCUACGGAAUAGCUCCGGGAAACUGGAAUUAAUACCGUAUGUGCCCUACGGGGGAAAGAUUUAUCGGCAAAGGAUCGGCCCGUGUUGGAUUAGCUAGUUGGUGGGGUAAUGGCCUACCAAGGCGACGAUCCAUAGCUGGUCUGAGAGGAUGAUCAGCCACAUUGGGACUGAGACACGGCCCAAACUCCUACGGGAGGCAGCAGUGGGGAAUAUUGGACAAUGGGCGCAAGCCUGAUCCAGCCAUGCUGCGUGAGUGAUGAAGGCCUUAGGGUUGUAAAGCUCUUUCACCGGAGAAGAUAAUGACGGUAUCCGGAGAAGAAGCCCCGGCUAACUUCGUGCCAGCAGCCGCAGUAAAAC
rnacentral:rRNA from 1 species